UACGUAGGGGGCGAGCGUUGUCCGGAUUUAUUGGGCGUAAAGCGCGGGCAGGCGGCAGCGUAAGUCGGCCGUGAAAGCGCCGGGCUCAACUCGGCGAGGACGGGCGAGACUGGGCUGCUCGAGCAAGGCAGAGGGCGGUGGAAUUCCGGGUGUAGUGGUGGAAUGCGUAGAGCUCCGGAGGAACACCAGUGGCGAAGGCGGCCGCCUGGGCCUUUGCUGACGCUGAGCCGCGAAAGCGUGGGGAGCGAGCCGG
rnacentral:rRNA from 1 species